rnacentral:rRNA from 1 species
AGUGAACGCUGGCGGCAGGCCUAACACAUGCAAGUCGAGCGGCAGCACGGCAAUAGCAAUAUUGUGGGUGGCGAGCGGCGGACGGGUGAGGAAUGCAUCGGGAUCUACCCUGUCGUGGGGGACAACGUAGGGAAACUUACGCUAAUACCGCAUGAUCUGGAGACAGCAAAGCCGGGGACCUUCGGGCCUGGUGCGAUGGGAUGAGCCGAUGUCCGAUUAGCUAGUUGGCGGGGUAAAGGCCCACCAAGGCGACGAUCGGUAGCUGGUCUGAGAGGACGACCAGCCACACUGGAACUGAGACACGGUCCAGACUCCUACGGGAGGCAGCAGUGGGGAAUAUUGGACAAUGGGGGCAACCCUGAUCCAGCCAUGCCGCGUGGGUGAAGAAGGCCUCGGUUGUAAGCCUUUGUGCGGAAGAAAGUACGUCGGUGACAUCCGGCGACUGCUGACGGUACCGCAAGAAUAAGCACCGGCUAACUUCGUGCCACG